CUGAGGCAGGAGAAUGGCGUGAACCCGGGAGGCGGAGCUUGCAGUGAGCCGAGAUUGCGCCACUGCACUCCCACCUCGGUGACAGAGCGAGACUCCGUCUCAAAAAAUAAAAAUUAAAAAAAAAUACUGCUGUCUCUUUUUAAGAGUAUUAAACUAGGACAAAGGUUACUUGACCUAGGAGAUUACUCAGCACUACCUCUACAUGGAGCUUAGCAGCCACCGAUCAUGAACCGACAGAUGCCAGGAAAUCCUUUCCUUGUUUUGAUGAGUGCAACAAAAAGGCAACUUAUACAAUAUCUUUCACCCAUCCCAAAGGAUCUGAAGCAUUUCAAAUAUGCCAGUGGCGAAAUAAGGGUCAGUGGAUGAAAAAUGGAAUCAAACAACUUUCGAGAAGUCUGUCCCCAUGAGCAUGUACCUGGUGUGCUUUGCUGUACAUCAAUUUUGUCCUGUAAAGAGAAUAUCAAAUAUUGGAAAACC